AUUGAACGCUGGCGGCAGGCCUAACACAUGCAAGUCGAGCGGUAACACAGGGAGCUUGCUCCUGGGUGACGAGCGGCGGACGGGUGAGUAAUGUCUGGGAAACUGCCUGAUGGAGGGGGAUAACUACUGGAAACGGUAGCUAAUACCGCAUAACGUCGCAAGACCAAAGAGGGGGACCUUCGGGCCUCUUGCCAUCAGAUGUGCCCAGGUGGGAUUAGCUAGUAGGUGGGGUAAUGGCUCACCUAGGCGACGAUCCCUAGCUGGUCUGAGAGGAUGACCAGCCACACUGGAACUGAGACACGGUCCAGACUCCUACGGGAGGCAGCAGUGGGGAAUAUUGCACAAUGGGCGCAAGCCUGAUGCAGCCAUGCCGCGUGUAUGAAGAAGGCCUUCGGGUUGUAAAGUACUUUCAGCGGGGAGGAAGGUGUUGAGGUUAAUAACCUCAGCAAUUGACGUUACCCGCAGAAGAAGCACCGGCUAACUCCGUGCCAGCCGCCGCCGUAAAAC
rnacentral:rRNA from 1 species